UACUGGAAACGGUGGCUAAUACCGCAUAACGUCGCAAGACCAAAGAGGGGGACCUUCGGGCCUCUUGCCAUCAGAUGUGCCCAGAUGGGAUUAGCUAGUUGGUGAGGUAACGGCUCACCAAGGCGACGAUCCCUAGCUGGUCUGAGAGGAUGACCAGCCACACUGGAACUGAGACACGGUCCAGACUCCUACGGGAGGCAGCAGUGGGGAAUAUUGCACAAUGGGCGCAAGCCUGAUGCAGCCAUGCCGCGUGUAUGAAGAAGGCCUUCGGGUUGUAAAGUACUUUCAGCGGGGAGGAAGGUGUUGUGGUUAAUAACCGCAGCAAUUGACGUUACCCGCAGAAGAAGCACCGGCUAACUCCGUGCCAGCAGCCGCGGUAAUACGGAGGGUGCAAGCGUUAAUCGGAAUUACUGGGCGUAAAGCGCACGCAGGCGGUCUGUCAAGUCGGAUGUGAAAUCCCCGGGCUCAACCUGGGAACUGCAUUCGAAACUGGCAGGCUUGAGUCUUGUAGAGGGGGGUAGAAUUCCAGGUGUAGCGGUGAAAUGCGUAGAGAUCUGGAGGAAUACCGGUGGCGAAGGCGGCCCCCUGGACAAAGACUGACGCUCAGGUGCGAAAGCGUGGGGAGCAAACAGGAUUAGAUACCCUGGUAGUCCACGCCGUAAACGAUGUCUACUUGGAGGUUGUGCCCUUGAGGCGUGGCUUCCGGAGCUAACGCGUUAAGUAGACCGCCUGGGGAGUACGGCCGCAAGGUUAAAACUCAAAUGAAUUGACGGGGGCCCGCACAAGCGGUGGAGCAUGUGGUUUAAUUCGAUGCAACGCGAAGAACCUUACCUGGUCUUGACAUCCACAGAACUUUCCAGAGAUGGAUUGGUGCCUUCGGGAACUGUGAGACAGGUGCUGCAUGGCUGUCGUCAGCUCGUGUUGUGAAAUGUUGGGUUAAGUCCCGCAACGAGCGCAACCCUUAUCCUUUGUUGCCAGCGAUUAGG
rnacentral:rRNA from 1 species